CUCAUUAACAAAUAAACGAGAGCGACGGGCGAUGUGUACAUAUCUCAGAACCAAUUAUCACAAAAACAAUCUUCAAAACAUUACAAUCAAAUCCAAUUUCAUGCCAGUAAUUAAAACCAACAAUCCAAAACAACAAAUAACAAUGUAACCCACCAAUACACUUAGAGAAAGCUGCACCUUGACCUGAAAUUAAACCAAAUAAAGGAACGAGAAAAUUACACAACCCUAAAAAGAUAAUCAAUAAACGGCGGUAUACAAACCAUAAACAACUAAGUAAGGUCCAACGCGGACUAUCGAUAACGAGACAGGUUCCUCUGAACGGAAUAAGAUACCGCCAAAUUCUUUAAGUUUCAAGAACAUAACUAAUACUACUCAGGCAAAACAUUAACAUCCAAAAAUAAUA
rnacentral:rRNA from 1 species